ACAGCUUUCAGGCUUAGCUUACGGUUAGGUAGGUAGGUAGCUUGUGAGGGGUUGUGUUCACGGGCGGACUCGACACCGGGAUGCUCGUGGCGCUCCUGCGGCCGUCAUUUCGUGCCAGACUUCUGGUGCGUAAUGCGGUUUUCGCGGGCCGCAAAGCGGCGUCCCGGUGUAAUUGCCUCGUCGGCUUGUCCCCACACUUCAAGCAACUGGCAACGUUUGAACUUCAAGUCUGCACAACGCAACGCGUCGCGUCGGGGACCUGCUACGGGCGGAGCACAGCUUCAACUUGGCUGCUAGACCAUGGACCAGCCGUGGCUUCGCGCUCAAGCGUUAUUCGAGCGCUGACGUACUGACACGCCCCGUGCCACACCGGCGUAUCUUCCGCACUAUAUCGCCGACGAGUCUUGAUGGCGGACGUGCUCCCGGCAUUGGAUCGAACACACAUGGUUGCUACCUUGGUCAGUCUCUCACCUGAUCCAAGAUCUCUGGAGCACUGCUCAUGGUCGCAUGAUCCGGUGUUCAUAGUCUCAUCCGCUUGAGCGAAUGAGGCAAAUGAACACGGCCUUCCGCAACUGUCAUGCGUAAUUGCGCAGUCGUCCUGCACUAUUACGCAUGAUGUCUUGCCCAACAAUGCUCUACACCGGUCCGCCUUGUCAACUUUCGCUUCUGGCAAAAGUUGAUUCGGCGUUCUUCCCCGGCUGGAGCGUGCAGUUUGCUGUGCGGUACAUCUCCUCUGCAAACUAUUGGUGUCACCAGGCCCACGUGCUGCUAACAAGAGGCCAUGGACAAGGAUAGAGCUGCUUCCCUGGCAAUUAACAGAACACUGACGCAGUCAUCUUUAUCAGCGGCAGCGGCUUCAUCAGCGGUAUCGAACUGGCGAGGGUGUGUCCCUGUCCUUCUACGGUUCGUGUGUUCCAUUUCUACGGUCACACUUGCCCUCCGGUUUGUCUUCAAGCCUGGUCUUCAAUGAUCCUGACCUUGGAGAAGAUAGUGCAUGGAUCACCCGUGGGCCUCGCAGUUGGAAUUGUAUGCUGAACGCAAGGUGGCUGCCAUGUUCCUGCGUGGGUUCCUGCGUGAGCCCCAGAGCCAGUGUU
rnacentral:misc_RNA from 1 species